rnacentral:rRNA from 1 species
ACGCACGCUGGCGGCGUGCCUAAUACAUGCAAGUCGAACGCUUCUUUCCUCCCGAGUGCUUGCACUCAAUUGGAAAGAGGAGUGGCGGACGGGUGAGUAACACGUGGGUAACCUACCCAUCAGAGGGGGAUAACACUUGGAAACAGGUGCUAAUACCGCAUAACCGUUUAUGCCGCAUGGCAUAAGAGUGAAAGGCGCUUUCGGGUGUCGCUGAUGGAUGGACCCGCGGUGCAUUAGCUAGUUGGUGAGGUAACGGCUCACCAAGGCCACGAUGCAUAGCCGACCUGAGAGGGUGAUCGGCCACACUGGGACUGAGACACGGCCCAGACUCCUACGGGAGGCAGCAGUAGGGAAUCUUCGGCAAUGGACGAAAGUCUGACCGAGCAACGCCGCGUGAGUGAAGAAGGUGUUCGGAUCGUAAAACUCUGUUGUUAGAGAAGAACAAGGACGUUAGUAACUGAACGUCCCCUGACGGUAUCUAACCAGAAAGCCACGGCUAACUACGUG